UACAGAGGGGGCAAGCGUUGUUCGGAAUUACUGGGUGUAAAGGGCGCGUAGGCGGCCUGUUAAGUCGAACGUGAAAUCCCCGGGCUCAACCCGGGAACUGCGUCCGAUACUGGCAGGCUUGAAUCCGGGAGAGGGAUGCGGAAUUCCAGGUGUAGCGGUGAAAUGCGUAGAUAUCUGGAGGAACACCGGUGGCGAAGGCGGCAUCCUGGACCGGCAUUGACGCUGAGGCGCGAAAGCCAGGGGAGCAAACGGG
rnacentral:rRNA from 1 species